rnacentral:rRNA from 1 species
GUACGGGGGCGGCAUUUAGGAAUAUUGGCAAUGGAUGUAAGCUCGACCCACCCUUCGGGAGGGAAGGAGGACGGCCCUAUGGGUUUUAAAUUGCUUUUAGAGAGAAAAAAACCCCUGUAUGUGUCAGGGGAUGACGGUACAAAGAAUAAGCAUCGGCUAACUCCGUGCCAGCAGCUGCGGUAAUACGGAGCAUGCUAGCGUUAUCCGGAUUCAUUGGGUUUAAAGGGUGCGCAGGCGGGUCAGUAAGUCAGUGGUGAAAUUCUCCCGCUCAACCGUCGAACUGCCAUUGAUACUGUUGUUCUUGAGUACAGGUGAGGUAGUCUGAAUAUGUAAUGUAGCGGUGAAAUGCAUAGAUAUUACACAGAACACCGAGCGCGAAGGCAGCUCACUAAACACGCACUGACGCUGAGGCACGAAAGCGUGGCGAGCGAACAGGAUUAGAUACCCUGGUCGUCCACGCAGUAAACGAUGCUCACUCGCUGUCGCGAUACACGAUCAGUGGCAAGCGAAAGCAUAAGUAUCCCCUGGAUCGGCGGG